CAGCCCCAAAGCGCCUCCUUGCUCAGGGUGUGGAGAUUGCUCUUUUGUGGAACUUACCUUAACAAGGAAUAUACGCCUUGGUAACGUGUUGGGUGUCACCUUAGGUGGGAAAGCAUGGACUUACACCCCAGGCUGCUCAUAGAUGGAAGAGCCUCGGUCCCUACCCCACAGGUGGCCCUGAGGGUGGAACAGCUCCCUGGACACAAGGAAGAAAUAACACAUGUUGACAUGAAGAUUGAAAGUGGGGUCUCUCUUGUGCCCCAGAUGGCCCCAGAAAUGGAACCAUUCACACUUCUUUUCUGCUCACGCUUCUUUUCCCUAGAACUGUUUGGUGAUAAGGUUAGCAUUUCAUUGGAUUUUUAAAAUUUCUUUGUCUUUAUUGUGUAUUCCAACCAGAAGCAGGAGGAUGCUGAUUCC
rnacentral:lncRNA from 1 species